AAAAUAGGAACUGAAUGGAUUCACUCAACACUGUUACAUUGUAUUAAAUCAAGUGGCUUUUGUGAUUAUAACAAGUUUUCAGUUUUAGUUUAACCUACUAAAGUUUUAAAAGCUAACACAGGUGUAUUAAUUAAUUUGGACACAGAUGCAUUUCAUUAAUUGAGCAUGUCAUGAAGUUCACUUUUUUGAGUGUACAGUAACUGGUUCUCUCUUUGUCAAAGGUAACCAAGGAUCCACAGGAACACACUGUCAGGGGACACUCAAAACAAUACUACUACUAUUACUUCUCAGCAGUGACACAAGAAAAGCAAAGUGGCACAUUGGCAGAAGCACAGACCAAUUUGUUUGACGGGAAGGUCAUCACAGGCCUGCCAUGACACUGGAUUCCACUGGAGACUGGGCCAGCAUCAACUGGGGAAACAAAGAUGCCACAGCCAAAGAAAGAUGCGUACAACUGCCUUUCACCAUCUCCAAGUAAAUGGCAGUUGGAGACCUUUCCCAUGGAAAAUGCCAUGCAAACAGAGAUGACAGAAGAAGAGGAUGGCUUCUCAGAGCUGCCCCACACACACACACACAUGCCCCA